rnacentral:rRNA from 1 species
GUGGCGGACGGGUGAGUAAUGCUUGGGAACUUGCCUUUGCGAGGGGGAUAACAGUUGGAAACGACUGCUAAUACCGCAUAAUGUCUUCGGACCAAACGGGGCUUCGGCUCCGGCGCAAAGAGAGGCCCAAGUGAGAUUAGCUAGUUGGUAAGGUAAAGGCUUACCAAGGCGACGAUCUCUAGCUGUUCUGAGAGGAAGAUCAGCCACACUGGGACUGAGACACGGCCCAGACUCCUACGGGAGGCAGCAGUGGGGAAUAUUGCACAAUGGGGGAAACCCUGAUGCAGCCAUGCCGCGUGUGUGAAGAAGGCCUUCGGGUUGUAAAGCACUUUCAGUUGUGAGGAAAAGUUAGUAGUUAAUACCUGCUAGCCGUGACGUUAACAACAGAAGAAGCACCGGCUAACUCCGUGCCAGCAGCCGCGGUAAUACGGAGGGUGCGAGCGUUAAUCGGAAUUACUGGGCGUAAAGCGCACGCAGGCGGUUUGUUAAGCUAGAUGUGAAAGCCCCGGGCUCAACCUGGGAUGGUCAUUUAGAACUGGCAGACUAGAGUCUUGGAGAGGGGAGUGGAAUUCCAGGUGUAGCGGUGAAAUGCGUAGAUAUCUGGAGGAACAUCAGUGGCGAAGGCGACUCCCUGGCCAAAGACUGACGCUCAUGUGCGAAAGUGUGGGUAGCGAACAGGAUUAGAUACCCUGGUAGUCCACACCGUAAACGCUGUCUACUAGCUGUGUGUGUCUUUAAGACGUGCGUAGCGAAGCUAACGCGCUAAGUAGACCGCCUGGGGGAGUACGGCCGCAAGGUUAAAACUCAAAUGAAUUGACGGGGGCCCGCAC